GAUCAUGGCUCAGAUUGAACGCUGGCGGCAUGCCUUACACAUGCAAGUCGAACGGCAGCACGGGAGCUUGCUCCUGGUGGCGAGUGGCGAACGGGUGAGUAAUACAUCGGAACGUACCCUGAAGUGGGGAUAACGUAGCGAAAGUUACGCUAAUACCGCAUAUUCUGUGAGCAGGAAAGAGGGGGAUCGCAAGACCUCUUGCUUUAGGAGCGGCCGAUGUCGGAUUAGCUAGUUGGUGAGGUAAAGGCUCACCAAGGCGACGAUCCGUAGCGGGUCUGAGAGGAUGAUCCGCCACACUGGGACUGAGACACGGCCCAGACUCCUACGGGAGGCAGCAGUGGGGAAUUUUGGACAAUGGGCGCAAGCCUGAUCCAGCCAUGCCGCGUGAGUGAAGAAGGCCUUCGGGUUGUAAAGCUCUUUCGGUGGGGAAGAAAUUGCACAGGAUAAUACCUUGUGUAGAUGACGGUACCCGCAUAAGAAGCACCGGCUAACUACGUG
rnacentral:rRNA from 1 species